CUGUUUAUGAAAUUACCAGAAAUAUUGGGACAUAUCGCCCGGCCCUACUGGGACUACGAACAGGAAGGAAGUCACCUGGAGGAGAAUAUUUGACAUUUUCAGAGGGAAGCUGGAGGAAACUCCAACUUUUCCUGCAGCCAUCACCUGCUUUCCAGAACAAGCCAGGACAAUAAUCAUGCGCCAUCUUUGACAGGAGUUUGCAGCUGUCACGUUAUCGAGUUUAACUGACUUCACCUGCAGCCCACCUGUUCACAGCGGGAAAGGUUUUAGCCACUGUUACUUCAGGCUGUAAUGGACGUGAAGCGAACUAUAAAACCUCCGGUGGGACAGAUAAGUGAGCAGCACCACUGUCACCUGAAGCAGAGACGGGCAGAUUCAUGUCUGAAGAGGCGUAAUGAUGCAGUUUUGAUUUCCUGAUGAGAUGGAGUUGGCUGAGGUGAUGCAUUUGCUGGAAGAGCCUUUUCCUGCAGGAGUCUUGAAAAGCCACGGUUGCUACGGGAACGGGCGUUGUGUCACUGGUCAGCCGUGAGUGACAGGUGCGUCUCAUCCGUGACAUAAUGACACAACGAUGAGCGCUGAAGGACGAAAACGCUCUCCUAUGAGCUUUCCAAAGAGGGCGUUAGCACAAACAUUUCCCCAAUAAUCCGUAACCGAGACUCGCAAGCACGGGACUGGAACUAAUGAAGACAACUAUUCAAUUACGAGCUCAAUUAAUGCAAGUGCCUGGAAGCGCAGAUCACAGAUGAGCCAAGCAGCUAGCCUUAGAUGUUGUGGACCACAACUGGAGGCGAACAACACACUGAGACAUUGAAUUCCUGCCUCAAUCCCUUGGCUUAGCACUCAUGGCCGUCUCCACUUUAAAGUGGCUUUAUGGGCUCAUAAGAGGGACCUGAGAGUGGGCCUCAAAUCUAUGCCUUUCGUCCACUGUGUAGGGUCAUAAGGACCUGAAUUGACUUUGUCUAGAUAUGGACCCACAAUCUCUUCUUAAGUAUUACUCUGUUAUUGCCAUUUUCUCCCGAGGUUCAUCUCUUGCUGCACCAUAUUCGACCAAGCACAACAAAAAAGUCCAAUUUAGCCUGAUUUCCCUUAUUCCAGCUUUGAUUCUUGCUUUGGCUCAUAUUGAUUUCAUACAACUUGUUAUGUUCUGUUUCUUCUCUGUCUUGUUUUUGGAUAAAUCCAUGUUGUUUACAGUGUGCGAUGACCCGCGGGGCGUCAAGAUUAUUCUUAACCCUCUUUCUCGCUGUGGUUUUGUGGUGUAUCGAUAUGUAGCCAUGUUUGCUUAUAAUUAAGUCCCUUCCACACCACAGAUGGGACUCAGUUCAGACCUCUUGGCCCAAUUAAAACAAGCUUUCCUACUUCAGUACUACCUGCUUUGUUACAUAUAUAUAAGUGCAUUAGUUUGAUAAAAAGCUUUAGAGCGGUAAUUUACACUGGUUGAUACACGACGCUCGCAUCCUCAUGAUGCAACACGACUCUAAAUUACCACAGAAUAUUACAUCUUAUCAUAAAGCUGUUCCACACUGAUUAAAGACUAAAGAUAAAAAAACUGAGGCUUUGCUAAAGGAAAAAAAAAUCUCUAAUUAUUUCCCUAGAAAUAAAAUAAAAUGGUAUAGGCCACUAGGGAGUUGGGUCUAAGUAUUUCAUUUAUCUAUAAAAGGCCUCUUGAGGAUGUUUCCUUUCUUUAUUUUAAUCUCUUUUCUGUUUUCACACCUUUAGCAUUCUUCUCUUUACUGCGUUAUAGUACGUCUCUCCCCCUAGUUCAUCCUUGCAGUACAUACUGACGACAAUAAUUGAAGUGAGUGCAUACACGGGAUUAGGAGACAUUGAUGGUAAUUACUAAAGGUGACUGUGAGUAAUUCAAACUAGUCCACAGUCCUCUGUGACUCAUUAGCUGGAGCUGAGCUCUAUAGACCUCUGGUAAAACCACUGGCAGGAGAAGGGCCCGCCCCUCUGCUCCACCACACAUUAAACACAUAUUAUAUAUAUCAUAUUUUACACUGCAGUGAUUGUGAUACAUCAACUAAGAGCUUAUUUAUUUUUCUGACUAAUGCAUAACUGAUCUGUAGUAUGUACUGAUAAAAAUACCAAUUCAAUACAUUUAAAAAAAAAAUCUUUAUCAUAUAUUAUUUGAUUGUGAACACACGGUUUGCUUAACAUCUACA